rnacentral:lncRNA from 1 species
UUAUUUUUAAAAGAAUUGUGAUGUCCUGAAAACGUAUUUCUAACCAUGUCUCAACCAGUGUACACGUGAUCGUCGACACGCUUCGACUUUGUCGAGAUUAGGAUUUGGGUCGCAUUAAUGCGCACCAGAGUUUAGGAAAGUACUACAAUUAAAGUACGCACCUAAUGGUUCUAACGUGUUAUUAUUUUGGGGAAGGCCGUGAAAUUCGCUAAACGGCCCUCCCGAAUUCUAAGCACUUUUUCGUAUAUCAAUUAAUUAGGGCCCCGCAUUUGUAUUUUAUCGGGCAAGACUCGUCUUAUUUAUUAUUUUAAAAGGGCAAGCCUAAAACUAAAAGCUACGAUUCUCUCUUCGUUUUAAGUCCAUAAUAAGAAAGAAAGGAGUGCCUUCUUAAUUUAUUAUUGAAACGAAGACGAUCAGUUAAGAAGCUAUUGGAUUUGGGUCCACAUUCCAACGAGUUUUGAGGCCCAAACCGCACAAGACAUCAUUGAACUCUCAUGGUUACAAUUUAGAUUUCCGAUUGUAGUCACACAUAUAUCAAUAUAGAUUAUAGCAUGCAAACAUUGAACAACUAAAUCAUAUAAGGGGGAUGAUUAAUUUGAAUUAACCCUGGGAUUGCCAGUUUAGAAAAUAACACCAGUGCUAGUUAACAAAGCUUAAAACCAAAUCCUAUGUGCUUGUAAUCAUUUGAACGCAAUUCCAAUCAACCAUUUUAAUCCCUAAUUCUGCAUUAUAGCAUAGUAAUAUUAACAUCAAUCUAACAGAAUAGGUAAGGCUUGGACUUCCAAUAUCAUUUCAUGCUAUUCUGUCCAACUAGUCCAGUGGUUCGUGUCCAAUCACCACCUUAAAAAAACUGAAACAAUCCAAUUGCUUACAAUGUCCAAAUACCUAUGUUAGAACAAAGCAUUUUCAGUCUAAUUACAGUCUAAGCAUUCAGAAAUCAGAUAAGAUUAAACCGUCCAAUUACAGCUCAUUCAAAUUCAGGCUGUCCAAGCAGUUAUUCUGCAAAAAAAAAUAUUUUCAACCACAUUCAUUUAAAUGGCAACUUUCAAAUUAUAGACAUCAUCCAAACGAGCUUAGAUCUGGUGGAACGUUCUUAUUUCAGCUUCAAAUACAUCGAUAUAGAUGAAGGAAUGUACCUGGAUAUUGCAAAAUAAGAAGGAAAAUAAGGUUAGCACAGCAGAUGGCAAUCAGCAAUAGUCCCCGCGAUCACAUUCACCCCAGAAAUAACUCAGGAGUCCAAAACCAUUUUUAAAACCAAAAAGAGACUAGUGUUGCAAACCAAACACAGCAACAGAAUGCACACGAUGAACCCAAUACCACUUGGAACCUUCAACAGCCAGAAAUUCAGCUCAAACUAACCUAGUUGAACCCAAAAAUCAUACAGACUUGACUGAAAUUGGACUGGGAGAAUUACGCCACUAAAAUCAACAAACAAUUGCUAGAACACAUUCAAACACACUCAAAACUAAACCCAAGUGACCCAAUAUCUUUUCAGUCAGUAGAAAAUCCAACGAUGGUUUGAAUAUGCUUUUUGAAUUACUCUAAUGUCCAUGAAGAUGAAAAUUACUAGAGAAAACGAUGAAACAGUACCCUUUUUGAUUUUCUGAAGCUUUCGUAUUUAUUUUUUUGUUUUUAUUUUGAAGAUUUAAAGUUUGGAUGUUAAAUUUCAGAUCUGAAACAUAAGAGGAAGGCAGGGAAUUUUGUGAGGCUCCAAACUUGUUCAAGAAGGCAUUAGAGGUGCCUUUUUAUAGGCCAAAAGAGGGCAUCCCUGAAAAACUCUUAUUUACCCUCUUAGUCCUUCUUUUUUAUUCAAUUAGUCCUCCUAUUUCUGACUUGUUAAACAAGUGAAUGCAUCAUAAUUAUUAAAAUUUACACUUGUACCCCACUCUAGAAGCCUCUAAGAUGCUCUUUACCUAUGAAAUACCUACACUACCCUUUCCCUUGUUUAGAAAUUACCAAACUUAAUAAAACUGCCCUUUCCCAUGCCUAAACUACCCUUUAAUACCAUUAAAAUUUCUUGCCCUAACCCCCUACCUAUAAUUAUCAAACUUUAUCAAACUAAACACUAGCAAAGUGACAAUUGCUGAUGAACUAAGUUAUUCAAUCAGAAACUUGAAACUAACAGAGCCUAAUUAGAGUUAAAAAUCAAGUAACACUUUAAAUUAUUGCUAACUAAACAACAUUAUAAUUGAGACUAAAACAACGAGUAAUUAUUCAAACAGCAAAAUCAAAACAAAUUUAACGGAAUGAAGAACAACUAACACCUAAAACAAAUUACGAAUCAAGUAGAUAAAGUUUAAAAACGAAACAGAAGUAAAGGAGAGUCAGUAAUUUCGGACUUACAAUUUUACUAAACAAAAAUUAAGAAGCUAACUAGCCAUGGGAGGUCAGUGAAUAAAGGAAAUUAAACUCGAAGACUCACCAACUUAGUCUGGUCAAAUUGGUCUAAAUCCAGCAAAUUCAAACAAUAUUUGGACUCCAAUGAUGAUCAAUUCCCCACGAGGAAGCCCCAGUGAUCUUAUCGUACUCACUCCGUCAAGAUUGGGUCAUUUAGGAUUUUGCCGAAAAACUUCGACAGAAGAUUCGAUGAGCACGGCUAACAUUCGAGAGAAACGGCCUAUGGAUUUUGGUAGAGGGGGGAAGAGGAAUCCGGGGUGUUAUUUUGGUGAUGAUUGGGAGCGAUGGCAUUUAACGGCGAUGGAGUUUCGGUGAGUGACUUAUUCAAUACGAGGAUGAUGAAAAGGGUACGAGGAGAUGCAUGCUUGUCUCUAGGUUUUAGACUGAUAUUUCCGACACUUUUAUCAUAUAUAGACGAGUGAACAAGGGGCAUUGGAUCAAAGCCAU